AGAAAAAGUAGCUCCUCCUCCUGUCCUCGCCGCGUCGAAAUGUCGACGGCUUUCAAUUCCCGAUCAAAUUUACAAGGGAAUCCGUGGUAGCUCUUUCAAUUCUCCUGGCUCCGCCGCUCCUCUGGUAAUUUCUCCGAGGUUAGCUCGUCUGCUACAAUGAAAUCGGCAAUCGUCUGGGGAAUCAGCAGCUCCUGCGACGGCCACAUCUUCGCCGUACAUCCGUGGAUAAGGAAGAAGAGAUUCGAACCUGGAUAAUCUAUGAAGCGAACAAAGACAGACAGAACUUGGAGCGUCAAAUCUGUGAGUGGAAUUACAGGAUAGGACCAACUAAGUCAUAACAUGUAUAUAGUCUGUUGUUACACAAUUCACAGUUUUGAUUUUGGGUUUAGUUAAAUGUCUGGCUUGGCUAAUCAUGUGGUUGGUUCUCAAAGACUGACAAGGAACUUCGAUUGUAUAUACACUGGUUUAAGAUGCUAGGCAGUUUUUCAUCAACUGUUAGAUUUCGAUUUCUCUAUGUAGCACUAAUAUACAUUUUGGUAGUCUUAGCUGUCUGUCUUUGAUCAUUUCACCUGACUAUUAUGAUGAUUUACCUUGAAUAUUUGUGACCUUGUUGUAAGUCCUAUCCAGCAAGGAUCUCAUUUGAUGUUUCGAAACUCCAGGCGACCCUCGAGCUAUGCUCUUCCACAGGUAGAUAGAUUUCAUUCGGUUGCGUUCAUGACAUUGACGACCUUGUAUCCGUCUCUUAUCAAAUUUGACUGUCCUUUGUUCAUAAUGAUGGUCUCUUUUUUAAUGCUUCCAGGAUAAUACAAAAUGUAUUUGACCUUGGCUUGGAAGUUCUGCAGAACAUUUAAUUGUUUUUGUAGCUCUCUCUGUCUCUGUCUUUUCUUGAUGAGACCACCGGACCAGACACCCUGCUGUUAAUACAUUUACCUGGAAGAGAGUGGAAUCGGAAUCAUAGAAUCGCUUCAGUUCUCAACGCCUUGAGUUACUACUCUUCUUGCUCAUAAAUCAGAAGGGUUUCAAUGUACAAGGUCGAUUGAUGUUUGCUCGCUCCACAAACUCAGAAGCCUCUAUUGAUGAAAUUGCAGACGAUUUUGGAAGACUCAAAUGAUGAUGAUUGGUGGUGAGGCUACCUCGCUAGUGUAUCAAUUGUUUUCUCAAAAGCUUUAAAACGUUGAAAAUAAGCAUAAUUCCACAGGUUUAUAUUUGUAUUUGCACUUCUCUGAGAAUAGUGGAGGUUUCAGUUGUUAAUGAGUGUAUU
rnacentral:lncRNA from 1 species